rnacentral:rRNA from 1 species
UACAGAGGGUGCGAGCGUUAAUCGGAAUUACUGGGCGUAAAGCGUGCGUAGACGGUUAUCUAAGUCGGGUGUGAAAUCCCCGGGCUCAACCUGGGAAUUGCAUUCGAUACUGGAUAGCUAGAGUUCGGCAGAGGGAAGCGGAAUUUCGGGUGUAGCGGUGAAAUGCGUAGAUAUCCGAAGGAACAUCAGUGGCGAAAGCGGCUUCCUGGACCAGAACUGACGAUCAGGCACGAAAGCGUGGGGAGCAAACAGG